rnacentral:rRNA from 1 species
AGGGGUUUGGAUCAUGGGCUCGGAAUGAACGCUGGCGGCGUGCCUAACACAUGCAAGUCGCACGAGAACGGUUCCUUCGGGGGCCUAGUAAAGUGGCGGACGGGUGAGUAACGCGUGGGUAAUCUGCCCUUGAGUGGGGAAUAACUUGGGGAAACUUAAGCUAAUACCGCAUGAUAUUUCUGGGACUUCGGUCCCGGGACUCAAAGGUGGCGCAGUUCGACUGCUACCGCUCAAGGAGGAGCCCGCGUCCCAUUAGCUUGUUGGUGGGGUAAUGGCCUACCAAGGCAUCGAUGGGUAGCCGGCCUGAGAGGGUGAUCGGCCACACUGGAACUGAGACACGGUCCAGACUCCUACGGGAGGCAGCAGUGGGGAAUAUUGGGCAAUGGGCGAAAGCCUGACCCAGCGACGCCGCGUGAGCGAUGAAGGCCCUUGGGUCGUAAAGCUCUGUCAUGCGGGACGAAAUGUUUACAUCUUAAUACGGUGUAUGCCUUGACGGUACCGCAGAGGAAGCCCCGGCUAACUCCGUGCCA